AGUGAACGCUGGCGGUAGGCCUAACACAUGCAAGUCGAACGGCAGCACAGUAAGAGCUUGCUCUUACGGGUGGCGAGUGGCGGACGGGUGAGGAAUACAUCGGAAUCUACUUUUUCGUGGGGGAUAACGUAGGGAAACUUACGCUAAUACCGCAUACGACCUACGGGUGAAAGCAGGGGAUCUUCGGACCUUGCGCGAUUGAAUGAGCCGAUGUCGGAUCAGCUAGUUGGCGGGGUAAAGGCCCACCAAGGCGACGAUCCGUAGCUGGUCUGAGAGGAUGAUCAGCCACACUGGAACUGAGACACGGUCCAGACUCCUACGGGAGGCAGCAGUGGGGAAUAUUGGACAAUGGGCGCAAGCCUGAUCCAGCCAUACCGCGUGGGUGAAGAAGGCCUUCGGGUUGUAAAGCCCUUUUGUUGGGAAAGAAAAGCAGCAGGUUAAUACCCCGCUGUUCUGACGGUACGCAAAGAAUAAGCACCGGCUAACUUCGUG
rnacentral:rRNA from 1 species